UAAAGGGGGUAGACACUGAUCUUAUAAUCUAUGACACUGGCUGAUUAAUGAGCUGCUCAUGAUUGCUGCAGGCCUCUCCAAACUGCAGGAGCAAAUGAUACUAUAGGACUGGGAGGAAUGUGCUAUCUGGAUGCCACACCUUUGUUGAAACUUAAGAACUCACUUUGACUCCUACUACAUUUAUUCUAGCCUUGAACUACCACAUGUACAUGACCAGAUAUAUGGUAACACACAUGCACACCCUCACUACUUGCCUGCUACUUCUACAGCAGAAUUCCUGUGCUACAGAACACAUGGUGAGCUACUCAAAAGCAUUGAACUGACCAGAGCCAUGCAGAAAAGCAUGAAAACUUCAUCCAGUAAUUUAGUAAAACUACUAAGAAUGUGAGUUAUUUCAGUAAUCUUGAAAAUACCAACAGUUUACUAGAUUAACGGCUAAAAUUAUAUGUGUUAUAUAAAGUCACACAUUAAUUUCUGCAUGAAACCCUCCAGGCAAUUUAGUAAGUUGAACGUACAAAUGCUGAGAAGUUAUCAGCUGAAGGUAAUGAACCUACCUGUGUUAUAACUUUUCAAUAUCCAACUCUGUGAAGUGAAGAAGAGUUCACUAUACACUUGAGCUCAGCAGCAACAGGAGAAAAAGCUGAUGUGUAGGGACCAUGAGACAGCCAUUCAGAAAACCAGCGGAGGCCAGGGCUCACUCAUCCAUGAGGUAUUGUGGAGAAAAGCUUGGCUUUACCAGGAACUGAAAGAGUUGUGCCUAAAUGCUUGAAGGAGGAUUUGCCAGAUUAUACCUUUCAUAAGGAAAAGUCAGCCUCUACAUGAGCAUUUCUGUUACAAGUAACCCUCUUGUGGAAGCAGAGCUCUAAACUGCUAUUUAUUAUGAGCACUGCAGCCAUCAUAACAUGUCACUUAAUAAACAAGACAGUAAGUGAUUACCACAUUUUUUGCUAAAAUAUUGUUUUUCCAGAACUACUUCAACAUCACUCCAAAGUACCUUUAAAAAUUGUCCUACUGAUACUCACUUUGUAAUAAUAUUCAAACUGUUGACUUCAAAGAAGGAACUCAAAGUGCUAUGAUAUGACACUAUCUCCUCCUGAGAAAAGGAAUGCAGAGACCACUGUGACAGCAAAAUUAUUUUCUGUGAUCAAAACUACUAGUUAAAGGCAUGAAUCUACACAGUCAUAUGCCACAGUAUUUAAAGUUAUUAGAUGUUUUUAAAAAGACAUUCACAGAAACUAUUUAAUCAGUGUUUGGUAGAAAAAGAAGUAGCUCAAUAACCAGACUGUAUAUCAAAGUUAUGCAACAGAAACUCAUCAGCAUACACUUAAUAUUUUUUUUCCUAUUAACAUAAUUAUUUCCUAGUCAGUAAAAAUGAAAAUGACAUGUUAGCAUUUCAAAAACACGAGAAAAUGACCCUCUAGGCUUUAUGACUAUCAAAACAAGUACCAGUACUUUAUUUGCAAAUUAUUGUGCAAGAAAUGAUCGACUCAGCAAGUUUACCAGUCAACAAAGUGUGAGCUCUACCAGUUAUAAUCAAUUUACAUGUAAUGAUAUGUCUAAAUAUGAAUUUAAAUGAGUUCUUGUCAUUUCAUGUUGAUGAGCUGCUUUAUCAUCAUAGAGAUGGACAGUGACCAUAGCUAAUGUUGCAGAAACAGCAAAGCAUGCACAAGUUUCAGGAGCCAAUGGUAACCCAGCAUGAAUAAAUUUGUUUUCAUGUAAAAAGACAGCCUUGGACUGCUAAGCCAUAUUUAUUUUCCAAUCAAAUUAAUAAAACUUCUUUCUAUGAGUUAUUUCCAAGCAUUUGCUGUAUAUGCUGUGUCCACUGCAAAUACACAGUAUGAAUCACAAGUUUUCUUACCUUGUAACCUAGCACAUUUCUCUUUCAAUGUAUGAAAAGAACUCUGAGGCCACCACAAAAUAAAGAACCUUUCAAUAUCA